rnacentral:rRNA from 1 species
GAUGAACGCUAGCGGCAGGCUUAAUACAUGCAAGUCGUGGGGCAGCAGGACGGUAGCAAUACCGUUGCUGGCGACCGGCAAACGGGUGCGGAACACGUACACAACCUUCCUUUAAGUGGGGAAUAGCCCAGAGAAAUUUGGAUUAAUACCCCGUAACAUGGUGAAAAGGCAUCUUUUUAUCAUUAUAGCAGCAAUGCGCUUAAUGAUGGGUGUGCGGCUGAUUAGGUAGUUGGCGGGGUAACGGCCCACCAAGCCUUCGAUCAGUAACUGGUGUGAGAGCACGACCAGUCACACGGGCACUGAGACACGGGCCCGACUCCUACGGGAGGCAGCAGUAAGGAAUAUUGGGCAAUGGAGGCAACUCUGACCCAGCCAUGCCGCGUGGAGGAUGAAGGUCCUCUGGAUUGUAAACUUCUUUUAUAUGGGACGAAAAAAGGGUUUUCUAACUCGACUGACGGUACCAUAUGAAUAAGCACCGGCUAACUCCGUGCCAGCCGCCGCAGUAACAC